GGAAUAUUGGUCAAUGGCCGAGAGGCUGAACCAGCCAAGUAGCGUGCAGGAAGACGGCCCUACGGGUUGUAAACUGCUUUUGCGGGAGGAUAAAGUUGCCCACGUGUGGGCAUUUGCAGGUAUCCCGUGAAUAAGGACCGGCUAAUUCCGUGCCAGCAGCCGCGGUAAUACGGAAGGUCCGGGCGUUAUCCGGAUUUAUUGGGUUUAAAGGGAGCGCAGGCUGAUUAUUAAGCGUGACGUGAAAUGUAGCCGCUCAACGGCUGAACUGCGUCGCGAACUGGUAGUCUUGAGUGAGUUCGAUGUUGGCGGAAUUCGUGGUGUAGCGGUGAAAUGCUUAGAUAUCACGAAGAACUCCGAUUGCGAAGGCAGCCAACAAGGCCUUUACUGACGCUAAAGCUCGAAGGUGCGGGUAUCGAACA
rnacentral:rRNA from 1 species